rnacentral:rRNA from 1 species
CGGAUUCAUUGGGCGUAAAGGGUGCGUAGGCGGUAGUGUAAGUCUGGUGUGAAAUCCCGGGGCUCAACCCCGGAACUGCACUGGAUACUGCUUUACUAGAGUACUGGAGAGGGAACUGGAAUUUACGGUGUAGCAGUGAAAUGCGUAGAUAUCGUAAGGAAGACCAGUGGCGAAGGCGAGUUCCUGGACAGUUACUGACGCUGAGGCACGAAGGCCAGGGGAGCAAACGGGAUUAGAUACCCCGGUAGUCCUGGCAGUAAACGGUGCGCGUUUGGUGUGGGAGGAUUCGACCCCUUCCGUGCCGGAGCUAACGCGUUAAACGCGCCGACUGGGGAGUACGGUCGCAAGAUUAAAACUCAGAGAAAUUGACGGGGGCCCGCACAAGCGGUGGAGUAUGUGGCUUAAUUCGAUGCAACGCGAAGAACCUUACCUGGGCUUGACCUGCAUCUCUAAGUCGGUGAAAGCCGGCGAGUCCCGCUAGGGACAAUUUGCACAGGUGCUGCAUG